ensembl:lncRNA
UUCUUUCUCUCUUUCUUUCUAAGCACAGAAUUUGAAAUGACUAAUUAAAAUAGAGGAGGCAGAGAAAAAUGUCCUCCAGCGCCAAAAACCACCACUGUAGCAGUUGAGCAGUAUGAGAUAACUGUUCUGAUAAGUACACUAUGGAGGAGGCAGAUCUUGCCUCAAAGGAAAAUUGAGAGGAUGCGGCAGCUUUUAAAGACGCUGAGUGGGUGAUUGGCUGUGUGGAAGGGUGGACAGCACUUCCAUGUCCUCACUGGCUAAGGGAGAGCUCUCAUAUCCACUGUCGUGCCUGCCUUCCCCUCCUCUGAGUGAAAAGGGCGAUUGUAUGACCGUAAUAGCAGCUAAACAAACAGAAAUGCACCCAAUAUUUAUACACCCAAUCCUUCAUCAUGAAAAGAUAAUUAUAGAUUUCUCUGAAAGGACUCUGGGAAUGUGUGCGCAAGAAUCACGUAAGCAAAAAUGAAGUAUGUGAUGAGGAACUUAACCCAGAUCUGCCUGUUUCCUAGCUGCCUGCUUUCCCUUUUGUGUGUGAACUGAUUUUCUGUAACAAUCUCCAAUCCAGAAAGUGAAAUCAAAUAACCAGAAGCCAGCUGUUUAGAGAAAAGCAUAUUUUCCUCUGUUUGCUGCAGGACUGCAGAAUAACUGUUGUUAAAUAAUUUCACUUUCCACAACCCAAAUUCCUUCAUAAAUUAUCUUUCUUUUACAGAUAUUAUGUCAGACAUAUCUCCACUGUGUCUAGAUUUUUUAGCCAAAGUAGAAGACACUUUUUUUAAAGUACUAAUAACAAUUUUUGGGAAUUUUUGUACAAAAGAAAUUACAAGUACUUUCUAAGCACAGGACUACUAGCUACUCUUUACUAACUCAAACGUGUCUAAAAAGGAAUUUCUUUGCAAUAUUACAUAUUUAUUGCUCAGAGACUGAGCAGCUCUGAAGAAAAUUUAAUUUCAGCACAAAAAGGUGGCUUCUGAGGGAACACCAAUUUGUGUGUAUGGUAAGUGAAGUCCUGCUGUCAUGUUAACAACUUUAUCACCAUGAAUGUUAUUUUCCUGCCCUGGGGACCUAAGCAAAGGGAACUCCUGGGAUAAACAAGAUCCAUCCUGACACAGAAACGAAGGGCCAGCUGCAGGAGAAAAGGAGCUGCUCUUCCAGAACUCGCUGCAGGAGAGAGGCCAGGGGCCUGGCUGGGAAGCAAUGAAGUGCCCUGAAAAAUCCAGCACUGCAGAGAGCCACCUCCAGCCAAACAGCAUCACCAGAGGUGGAAAACUAAUACUCCUCAUUCACCCUCCUCCUUCCUUAGGAUGGAAGGUCAAUAUAUGGGUUUUAAUAAUCUCUUUGGGGUUUUUUUUCUGAUUUUUUUUUCUUUUUAAAGUAAACAUUGCAAGGAAAAGAUGUUUUCUUCUUCCACCAGCGAGAAUACAGGAGACAAACAUGCUGAAUGCUGUUAGUAAGCACACCAAAGACUGAGAGGACGUAAAUGUUUCCAUAGUAACAUCCCCUCACACAGUCUAGACCAGCUGCAUAGGAUGCUCUCAGGGACUGUCAGUGGCAGGGAAGCUGGUGGCCCUCUCUAGCAGGGGAGCAAGGGGGUGGGAGGAGUGGGAAUGGCUGGGGCCAGGAGGGGAACCAGCAAAAGUAACAGGACAGAGAUGUCUGCUCUUCUCCAGAGUGCUGGGAAAGCUGCAGCCAGGGGGAAGGUGGGCUGACACUGCACUGGGAGGGUGCAUGGUGGCCAUGGUGGCACUGUGCAGGCAGCUUUGGACCCCCACUGAGCCUCAGUGCCCCAGAGAAGGAGCAGAUGGGCUUUCUGCUGGCCCUGGGCUCUGCUGCGGUGCAUGGGGAGGAGGGGGCACUGCCUGCUUUGCAGAAGGGUGAAUGUGAGGGCAAGCCCCAGGGGGAUUGUUGUGAGGGAUAACCUGAGUCCUUUGAACCUUCUAUCAGGAGGAACAGGAAGCCUUAUCCCACACUUCAAUGAACAAAGCAUUUCCAGAGACUAGCAGGAAUUUUUCCUGGAGAGAAUGCUGAGGAAAACACAAGGGAGGAAUAGGGAAAAGCAGAGAGACAUUUUGAGCAAUUUUGAGGGAGAAUUACCUACAACCUCUAUGGCACAGACUAAUUCACAGUGCUUGCUUGCUUCUUUCCUCAUGUGGUACAAACAGAUAUCUGAAAGAUCUUUUCUCAUUAUAAGCUCUUUAGGGAUUGCUUUAUAGAUAUUCCAUUUUAAAACUAGAUCAAAAAGCAAAUAUAUAUGAUUAAAGAUCAGGCUGGGAGGUAUUAACACCCAUCUUUUAUUGCAUACAAAAUAAGUUAUCCAUAUGCUCUGCCUCGUUUGUUUUGGACUAGUACACCAAAUGGAAUCUCUAAUAAAUCAUUCACUGCUUACCCACUCCCUCACUGUCUUCUGUUGCCAUCCUGCUAUGUAAAUAUCCCUGACAUUAGAAAUGGGACUAAUAAAAAAUAGGAUUAAAUCUGCAAUUUACAUUUGCAGCUAACAGUUCAAUUAUUUCAUACAGUUAUGGAAACAACCCUGGUUGUCCACCUACAUUUUUCUUACUGAACAAACUUGGGCAUGCCAAGCACAUGCUGAUAGCUCACAAAAUACCUAUCUCCAGAGGCUUCGUUACUCAAAAUCAGCCAGGCUGUGGCCAGCUGCCACAAGUGAAAACAUUGCACAAUUCUGGUCAGAGGGAGGUGAGUUGUAACUUGCCCAAGCAUGAGUUUCCUAAGCAAAGCUACAACUGGCUGAAAAUGAUCUUUAGCAAAAAAUAUGCAUGAAGCGGGGAGAGGAGGGGGUGCUGACUUGUUCAGACCAUUGGGGGAUAUUUUUAGUUGCCUCACUGUCCAGCCUUAUUUUAUUAUGAUGAAAGACUUGGGGGUCAAGAAUAAUCCUUCAUGUGCAUUAGCACAUGUGGGCUCAGUUUAGAACACAAACAAAAGCCUUCCAAUUAUCCAAGCAAUAAAAAACAGAAACACAUUUCAUGUCAACUAUUGUUCUUCAUGGGCCUAUAGUUGAUGUGACCCCCUUGCAGACUGUGUGCUCAGUGUCUAUCAAAAUGUAUGUACCUGUAGGUUAUCAGCAUCUGCUGGAGUUACAAAUGCCAGGUGUCUUGUGCCCUUCUGUACAAAAGGAUGAAGAGGACAGUGACAAUGCACAUUAUUUAUUUUCUGCCAGCAUGAAGUUAGCAAGAGCUGAGGCCUGACAGAGAGGUAUGGAUUAUGAGACUGCAGCAUCUCGGCCCAGACUCCAGCGAGCGAGUUAACUUCAGUGGAGCUCUCUUUCAGGGUCUCAGUGCCCCUCAGAGCCGUCAGCAUGAGGGCCCCUGGCUGUUCCAGCCCAGCCCCAGUUACACUGCAGUCCUGAACCUGGUGCCAAACCGGCAGCUUUGGCUGACAGGUGGGGAUCUUUUGAGGGUGUGUGAGAUCUCUGAUUUUGGUGCUGCCAGGCAGCUUCAGCAACAACACUGACACAACGAGUGUUCAGAUGAAGCUCUGAAAGUCAUUAGAGGAUAAGUCACUGUUGAGACAGUUGAGCUGCCCAGGUCCCUGGGGAGGAACUGCAGCCAUUAUUCAGUAAUAAUUUUCCACUCUCCAUAGGCAGCAGCUUCUCAAUGAUUUACCAGCAGACUUUGUACUGUUUUAGUAGAUAUUUGUUUACAAAGGAGGAGAGAAAAAUCCUGGUGGCUGUUGACACAACUGUGAUACCAUUGAGUUUAUAGUUUUUCCUGAAGGAAUGUAAUUUUCCCUUCUAAGGUCUCUGUGUUAAGGGAUUUGGCAAAUUAUGUCAGAAGAUUCUUUCAGAACACUUUGAGCCUAUUCUGCUCCCUGCACUUGUACAUGGAUUGACAGGUGGCCUCAGUAGAGCCUCCUCAGGUGUGUUACAGGUGGACUGACCAUAGGCAGGCUGGAUAAUAGUCCCCAAAGACUUUGCAGCCAAAGUAACGCAUUGAGUAGGUGCUGUGGCUUCUCUGCCCUCUUACUGCCAUUGCUGUGGUGCCUGGUGAGGGAGGUUUGCAGUUCUCUUAAUGGGAGGAGGUUUCUGUGCUUGACUGCUGAGAGAACUGGUUUGAGACUAAACCCAGGUCUGUCAGGAGCCAGCCACAGCAGCCCAGCUCUGCUGGCUAGGAACAGCUGGCCUGCUCUUCUGGCACUCAGAGGGUGAGACUGUUGAAGCCGUGGUCUGGUUUCAGGAGGAGACAUCUCUGGUUUGAGGCAAUGCUAGUGCUAUUCAGGAAGGUAACAUUUGAGCCAUUCACCUCAGUCAUGCAGUCUCUGAGCACUUAUCAGAAAUACACAUCUCACCUAGGCAUGGGAGACUCACAAAAGGGUAAGUCUGUCCCAGGAUACAAAGCUGGGGAGUUACCAGUCUGCUGGUGACACCAAACAUCCUCCUUGGCAGUGCAAAUUGAUGGACUGAAGAUGCAUCAUUCUUCAUUCAUUAUCUUGUUUUACAUAGGAGAAAAAAAAAAAAAAAAAAAAAAAAAAAAAA